AUUGCCGAUCCACAAAGAGAGAGAGAGAAGUGUGAUUCAUCUUCAUUUCCUCCAUUAAACCAUAGCCAAUUCCUUCACAUCUCUUCAAUUUAUUCGGAUUUGAUAUUAAAGUGGUUAAUAGGUGAUUCAAAGUGUUGAUAAGAACUAGGGACUUUGAAGGUGAACAUGAAUAGGAUGGAAGUUGGAGGUUGUAAGUUUAGCCUUAGCACUUAGAGUGGAGUUCGUCAAAGAGGUGAUAGAAUUCACUCUAGGUGUGGCGGUAGCACCCUGUUUUCUGAUGGUUAGGUGUAUAUGCUUCCGCUGAUGUAUUUUAAUUACGGAUUUGUAAUAAAUGUUAAGGUGCAGAAAAUCUGGGGUG